AUUGCGCAAGGCUUGGGGAGCGCUGUCGGGUUCCACGUGACUCCUCCUGGGGCCUCCGUCAAAGGGAAGGCGGGGAACACCAAGUGGGUUCGUGCCUCUCGCUUUGUGACUAGACCAUGCCAGAACUGGGACUGGUGACUGGGACUGGUGACUGGGGCUGCUGACUCUGGUGGCCAGCUGUGCUGCCGCCCUCUCUAUGAUGACUUUCUAGACCUUGGAAGAAACGAGAAAGGAAAAGUUACGUGGCAUCCUGUCUCAAUAAAUAAAUGAACAAAAUAAGGAGUGACUGACUAAAUGAAUGAAUAAAAAUAAAAAUGGAAAGAAAUAAAACAGUUUCAAAAACCAGAACUGGACAGUGAGGAGUCAGGAGAAAAGGUGCUUAAGUUCCAGCCCUGAAACCUAUCUGGAGCUGGGGACCGAACCCAGGGCCUUGCACUUCCUAGGUGAGGUGUCCACAGAGUCCAGAAGAGGGGAAUCCGUUUCCCUGGAGUUACAGGCAGAUGUCAGCACCUGAUGUGGAUGUUGGGAACUGAACCCGGGAUCUCUGAGUUCAUCUUAUGUCUUUGAGUAUUCUGUCUGCGUGUGUGCAUGUGCGUCCGUCCCAUACAUGCCGUGCCUGGUGCUCACAGAGACCAAAAGAGGGCAUCUGAUCCCUUGGAACUGGAGCUACAGACAGUUGUGAGUCACUAUGGACUGAACCACCCGGUUUGGCUCGGUGACUCAGCCCUGUGUCUGCUACUCGUCUGGAGGUCACCUGGGAGCUGUCCUGAUUAUCAGAUCUAUUAUUGCUGUCCUUGCCUCCAGGUCCAGGAGGCCAGAGGAUGGUAUCGAAUUCCCCGGAAGUGGAGUUAUGGGAAGUUGUGAGCCAUCAUGGGGACGCUGGAAAUCGAACCCAGGUCCUCUGCAAGGGCAGCAAGGGCUCUUAACCGCCGAGCCAUCCCGCCAGUCCCUAAGAGAUUUCGUGUUGUGUGUGUGUGUGUGUUUUUUUUAACAUCCUGAACUUUGAGCUGAUGUAAACGUGUUCAGUAAAACCACAGGAGUCCAUUGCUUCACGACAAGCCCGGAAAGAUUAGACUAUAAUUGAAAGAUGGUAUGACUCACAGUAGCACAUACCUUCAAGCUCUUUAUUUCCCCUUCAGAGAAACAAACAUGAAGGAGGCUUCUUUUCAAAGAAGCAGUUUUUCAAUGCGCACACUGAUGAAGUUCCUUCGGGGCUUCAUACUUUCACAACCAACUAAGCCAGCCAACCAAUCAACAAACGAAAAAAGAUGAAACAAAACCCCCAAAUUAAACUAACCAAAUUCGUUUUUGACCCUGCCUGACAAAGAAAAGAACUGAAACAACUAAACUACUUUCCCUUUCCUUUUGAGACAGGGUCUCGGUCUGUGUCCCAGAUCGGUCUGGAGUUCUAGAAGGUCCAGGAUGCAUAGUCUGGGAUGGCCUGAGUCCCUUUGCCCCAACAGCCUGAGUCCAGGGAUCACAGGCAUGAACCCCUGUGCCACACUCACUGUUCCUUGCUCCAUUCCUGUUUUUCUGCCCCUAGAUAACUAUGUCCUUCCCCUUGGAACAUUUACUUUAUUUUGAGAAGUGUCUGACUCUAAAACAAAAAGUUUGUCCAACUGAAGACCUUUAAGUUGUUGCGAUCUUAUUUUGGGCAGCGCCGAACGGAAAGCUGAACUUUCUUCCUCAGGGAAGGCAGCUAUU
ensembl:lncRNA LOC102550950 uncharacterized LOC102550950